UCCUCAAUAGCUCGGUGGUAGAGCGGUCGACUAUUAAUCGACGGGUCGAGGUUCAAAUCCUACUUGAGGAG